rfam:Verruconis gallopava strain CBS 43764 unplaced genomic scaffold supercont1.23, whole genome shotgun sequence.
GCAGCGAUGGUCUAGCGGUAUGACGUCUGCUUCACAUUGAAAACCUGUAAAGCGCUGAAGGUCCCGGGUUCGAUCCCCGGUCGCUGUA